ensembl:lncRNA
AUGUGGCUCUACGUCGGAUCAAGAAUCACUCACGAGAGCCAUAUUUUGUUUUUCAUUCCCUUCGUUUGUGCAUCACUGAGCCACAAGGUUUUGAGGGUUGAUCUGAGAUAUCCCACAAUGCAUUCACAGAGAGACAGGAAGAUCAAAGAGAAGAAUGAAAGUUUGGCUUAUUCACUGACUCUCUCGUGUGCUACAUUGAGACAAACAACCAUCAGAGCAGUUCGGGAUUCUGCUUUGGUGAAAUACAAUCCAUUACAACACUGCAGGGAAUGGAUGGUUUGCUGGAAGAUUUACUUUAAGAUGACAACAGACCUAGAGAGUCUCAAGUGAGAAAUUUUCAGCUGCAGCCGUGAGGUUGAAGUCAUUUCCCUGUGGGGGUGUUGGGUCCCUGGAGGAGAGCAGCUCUAAUGAGACCCGAUCUGUGGCUUGUUGCUGAAUUAUCAUAUUGUAAUAUAAAUACGAUUAAAUUUAAUUCCAAAAUGAAAACUCCCUGAUAAAAUACAAACGUGUGAAAAUGUAUGACGAUAUGGCAG